CCUACGGGAGGCAGCAGUAGGGAAUCUUCCACAAUGGGCGAAAGCCUGAUGGAGCAACGCCGCGUGGGUGAAGAAGGUCUUCGGAUCGUAAAACCCUGUUGUUAGAGAAGAAAGUGCGUGAGAGUAACUGUUCACGUUUCGACGGUAUCUAACCAGAAAGCCCCGGCUAACUACGUGCCAGCAGCCGCGGUAAUACGUAGGUGGCAAGCGUUAUCCGGAUUUAUUGGGCGUAAGGGGAACGCAGGCGGUCUUUUAAGUAUGAUGUGAAAGCCUUCGGCUUAACCGGAGUAGUGCAUUGGAAACGGGGAGACUUGAGUGCAGAAGAGGAGAGUGGAACUCCAUGUGUAGCGGUGAAAGGCGUAGAUAUAUGGAAGAACACCAGUGGCGAAAGCGGCUCUCUGGUCUGUAACUGACGCUGAGGUUCGAAAGCGUGGGUAGCAAACAGGAUUAGAUACCCUGGUAGUC
rnacentral:rRNA from 1 species